CCCAGCCAUUCCAGCCUGUUGCCCAGGGGAUGGUGGAUUCAGCUCAAAUAGUAUCCAUGGUAAAAAAGAAUCCAGACACAGCACAGGUGGAGGGCAGUGUCUGAGGGCCUCAUGGGUCCUGGACCUGACUCCUGCACCUGCACAUGGGACAGGACACCUGGAAUAAGAGGGAACAUCCUGAUGAGUUUCUUAACCUCACACCAUGAGAGGAACAUGAGAAAAAAGAAGAUGAGAAAACUGAAGACCACACUACAUCAACUACAUUCCACUGAUGAGCACUCGUCGCACAGAGGCCCAGGGAUGAGCAGGGAAGACGAAGGGGCUGGGAAAUAUCAUCCACAAAGGGACACCUCCAGCCUGCUUGACUUCCCCAUGCAAGGAGGGGUGAAAUGUUUGUUCUCAGCUAAUGGUGGCUAUGUCAGGACCUCCACAAG
rnacentral:lncRNA from 1 species